UACGAAGGGGGCUAGCGUUGCUCGGAAUUACUGGGCGUAAAGGGCGCGUAGGCGGACAGUUAAGUCGGGGGUGAAAGCCCGGGGCUCAACCUCGGAAUUGCCUUCGAUACUGGACAUCUUGAGUACGGGAGAGGUGAGUGGAACUCCGAGUGUAGAGGUGAAAUUCGUAGAUAUUCGGAAGAACACCAGUGGCGAAGGCGACUCACUGGCCCGUUACUGACGCUGAGGCGCGAAAGCGUGAGGAGCAAACAGG
rnacentral:rRNA from 1 species